AGUAAACUAUUUUGGACGAAGGUGAAUUAAACUUGUAUUAUACCAUCGGUUGCAAACAUUUACACAAAAUUCUCAUGUCACUUAGAUUUUCUACAUCUUAAUAAAAGGCCACAUGAGUGAUGAUAUCAAUUGAAAAUGCUGCUACUAAAGAAUUGCAAUUUCAACUGAUACUAAGUAACGUGGAUGUAUGAAUCUUACUCUAUUAUUGUCUCAUUGAAUUGUGUUGCAGAGUACCGAAACUAAAGAACAUAGCGACACUGCACACGAGUACAAUUCACAAGAUGCAGCAGAAAAUAUGUUGAACAGUGAAUCAUCGGAUAUCGAUGAUAGUGACAAUGACAAAGACUAUAUUCCGGAAGAAGGCGAUGCAUCGUCAGAUGAGUCGAUAGUUGUCGAACUCAUACCAAACAUUCAAAGAUUUCAAAAAAAGACAGCGUCAACACUACCUCCUGUUGAAUCCUUGCAAUCUCGUGCACGUGACGAAUCAUCCGCAGAGGCACACAAAACCAACAUCACCAUCGCUCAAACAAAUAACAGUGAAUACAGACAUUACGAUAAGAGAUUUUAUUGCAUGUUUUGCGAAAAGGCUCAAAUAAAACUAAAAAAAACAUUUGCUUUUGCAGCAUAAAGAUGGGCAAGAUGUGAAAGAUCUAUUAAAUACGGAAAAUUCAGCAGAAAAUAAAAAAAUGUAUGAAAAAAUAAGGAACGUAGGGAACCAUCUCCAUAAUGUUAAAGUAUUGCGAGAUGGCCAAGGACAGCUGUUUGUGUCAUACAGACAAAGUCACAAUCAACGCGUAGCUGAGACGAGUAUGGACCUUGUCCUUACUGUUACGGGUAUUACCCGAAGAAAAUCCUGUGGAGGCACACUCAAAAAUGUAAGUUUACAAUGCGGCGUGAUCAAGAAAACGACUCGCUUUAGAGAGCAGCCUGCUAUUACCAAAAUCAAAAGAAGGAAGCACUAUUUUAAGACGAGUAAUCGAGUCCAUGAGAAACGACGAAAUAAGUCGCAAAGUCAAAAGUGAUAAUACAAUCCUUGCAUUCGGUGAAAAACUCUGUACAAAAAGGGGCCAUGAUGAAAAGCAACACAAUUAUAUUAGACAGAAGUUAAGAGAAGUUGGUAGAUUGCUGAAAGACAUGCGAUCUUGUCCAGGCAAUGUUGAAAAGUCUUUGGAGAAUUUCAUGUAUUCAGAUGCUUUCAAAUUUAUUACACAAUCUUGCAAAAACGUUGCAGGCUUCGACGGAAACACCAAUACUUAUGCUACACCAUCAUUAGCCUUAAAGAUUGGCACAACGCUUCAGAAAUGUCUAAAAAUUCUAAUUUCGAAAGGAAUCGAAACAAACAACCAGGAUCUGCAAACAAGGGCUGAGGAGCUUUCCAAACUAUUUGAAAUUAAUUGGACGGAGGACGUGUCUUCCAAUGCCCUAAGAACACUUCAUGAGGCUAAGCAGAACAGUCAGAAAGAACUGUUGCCAUUGGCAAAUGAUGUCAAAGUAAUGUCUGAAUACUUACGACAUGAAGCAGAAACACAUGCAAAUACCUUACAAGAAUCAGCAAGUGAUUGCGAGAAAAGGCAAGCAUGGCAUAAGUUGUCUGAAAUCUGCUUGUGUUUAAUCGAAACGAUCAGACGAUGUGUCAAAAAUGACAGUCGAAGAAUAUUCAAAAAACAAAUUGACAAAUGACGAUGGAGAAUUAGAUUGAUGUUUAACAAAACUGGAAAAAAACCUGUGCCGUUAUUUUUACCGUACAGAGAUUAUUGCAAAACGAGGUCGAAUAGCUGCAGUACUGUUUCCAAGACAGGUGAAAGAAAAUAUCGACCUGCUCAUACGCAGCAGAAAUUCUCUAACAAACUGUUUAAAUAGUAAAUAUCUUUUCCCAACAAAAUCUGCAUCAUCGCAUAUUCGUGGGACAGAUUUAUUACGUUCAAUAGCAAUUGACUGUGGAGCUGAACAUCCGAAAAGGCUUCGUUCUACAAAGUUAAGGAAACAUAUUGCCACAAUGACUAGGCUUUUUAACUUGUCUGAAAAUGAAAUAGACAUUCUAGCUAAAUUUCUUGGUCACGACAUUCGGGUACAUAGAGAAUUCUACAGAUAACCAGAUGGAACCAUGCAGGUUGCCAAAGUCAGCAAGCUGCUCAUGAUGAUGGAAAGUGGACAAAUUACCAGAAAUUCUGUCAAUUCGCUAGACGAUAUUGAUGUGGACGACGAAUGUAUUGUAGAUGAACAAUAUUCUUCUGAAUUAUCAGAAAAUAAAAAUACUGAAGACCUUGAAACUCUGCUUCCCAGCACCAGUCAACCAAAAAUAACAGACAAAGAAAAGGGUACUUCAAAUACCAGGAGAACAAAACAAGCAGCCAAAAAGCAACGGAGUGAAGACGAAAACAGGAGCUGUUCACAGACACUUAGAUCGUUUUUUGAUAAUUGGUAAAUUACCAGGGAAAAAAUCAUUACUUGCAUGUAUUGAAAGUGAGAAUGACCUUCACAACAGAAGUUGGAAAAAUGUCAAAGACUUUUGCAUAAAUUUAAUUGAAACAAAAAAGCGACGGGGACUUUUAACUUAAAAAAAUAUAACACAUAUAAUGCACGUUUAGGAGAAUACGUUAAAGGAUGAAGUUGCCACAUGUGUUUUGUGUGUUUUCUUGUUCUAUAUACUCUUUUCGAAAACGAUAUAUGUGUGCUUAUUGUAUUUGAAUGUUUUAUUAAUACGGUUCAGUCAAAAACGAUAUUUGUUCAUAAUCAUAUCGCCGAACAAAUAAGGAUUGGUAUAUAGUUCGGCCAAAGAGUGUUUCUUUGUACUUUCUAUUACGAGUUUCUACGAGUUACUCACUAUACAAGUUAUUUUUUACCCCAAACUUGGUGAAUAUGAAUGAAUAUAGCAAACAUGAUAACAAAUCAAUCUAGAAGGCUAAACGUUCAGAGAAGGCACAAAAAAAUUCAGUCGGAUAAAUGGAAACAAACAUUUUGUUCAAGCAUAACAAACAAACACUUUUAGAUAUAAUAAGAUAAAUGUAAAUAACAUAAAAAAAACUACUGCUAAACUACUGCUACAAUGUGAAGAAUACAAAUGAAUAUUUUGUCAAUUUUACAAAAUUUGUUUUGAAUGACAGGUGUCUGACUUGCAGUUGAGUACUUAAUAGUUAUUUUAAAGUAAAAAUUUACCAAUAUGUAAAUUAUUGCGUAAAUAUCGCACUAGAAUUGAUUAAAUAGUUGUUAAAUAUUACAAUAAUUUCCUACACAGACUUUUGUGCAUUUGUUUUGCGUGUAGAUAUUCACAUUAACUAUCAAUUCACAUAUUUGCUUUGUGUAUAUAAUUGGUAUGUUUAUUUUCAGAAUUGAGUCACACUGUUAUAAUUUCCCUGUUGGUACAUAUUAUUUUUAAGUUGGCACCAACAAGGGUCUAACAAUUGAUUCACAUGUGCACU